AUGGCACUUUUGGAUGAAGUUACAUUCGAUAUUGAUGGAACCUUAAAUAAAAGCAAUGCCCCCAAUUCCAACAACUUCGUCAAGCUUUUUCCCAUGCUUUUUCCAAGUCUUUGUAAUUGAUGGCACCAUCGACGUCAUUCAGCAUCAUGGUUCGACUGAUCCUGCAAUCCUUGUGAACACGCUUGUCCACCAUGGGAUACCUUGUGGGGUUGCUACCGAAAAGCUCUCGGUUCUAAAGUCAAAGAUGAUUGAAUUUGGAAAGAGUCAUGAUAAAGAUGUUGGAGAGGGUCUUGAAGUGCUUCCGGGUGUUGAAUGCCCUCCUUGAAGCCUUGUCAUCAAGGGUUGGUGUAUUUAUUGGAUUGGUUACUGGCAACUUGGAAGAGAUUGCAUGGAUGAAAAUGAAAGGCUUGGGUAUUGAAAGAUAUUUUAGUGUUCCACAUAUUGGAGGAUUUGGGAGCGAUCACAUUGAUGGAGGUCACCUUGUCAAAAUUGCAGCAGAAAGGGCUGAAAAGCUUUUUCCAGGGAAAUUUGAUUUGCGAGUGCAUGUCGGAGACACAGUAUGUAGAAUUUUAUUUCACCUAAACGUUUGUUAAUAACUUUCCUUUUAACUUGCUUCAUAGCUUAAAUAACAACUAUGCUAUUGUUUCUGUUAA